UCAGGUGGCUGGAUGGCCGCCCCGGUUCGCCCGGCGAACCGGGGAGGAAAGUCCGGGCUCCAUGGAAACACGGUGCCGGGUAACGCCCGGCGAGGGAAACCUCAGGGAAAGUGCCACAGAGAGCAGACCGCCACCGCACCGGCUCGCCGGUCCGGCGGCAAGGGUGAAAGGGUGCGGUAAAAGCGCACCGCGCCCCCGGCGACGGGGGCGGCAGGGCAAACCCCACCGGGAGCAAGACCGAAUAGGGACGGCAGGCCGGCGGGUCCUUCGGGGCCCCUGUCGGCAGGCGGGUUUUCGCGCCGCCGUCCGGGUGUGUCGCGCCAGGCGUCCGGCAACGGGCGUCGCAGACGAAUGGCCAUCCAGCGGACCCCCUCGGGGGCCCGUGGACAGAACCCGGCUUACAGGCCACCUGACGCG
rnacentral:RNase_P_RNA from 1 species